UACGUAGGGUGCAAGCGUUAAUCGGAAUUACUGGGCGUAAAGCGUGCGCAGGCGGUUAUGUAAGACAGGUGUGAAAUCCCCGGGCUUAACCUGGGAACUGCAUUUGUGACUGCAUAGCUAGAGUACGGUAGAGGGGGAUGGAAUUCCGCGUGUAGCAGUGAAAUGCGUAGAUAUGCGGAGGAACACCGAUGGCGAAGGCAAUCCCCUGGACCUGUACUGACGCUCAUGCACGAAAGCGUGGGGAACAAACAGG
rnacentral:rRNA from 1 species